UACGUAGGGGGCUAGCGUUGUCCGGAAUCAUUGGGCGUAAAGAGCGUGUAGGCGGUCCGGUAAGUCCGCUGUGAAAGUCGGGGGCUCAACCCUCGAAAGCCGGUGGAUACUGUCGGGCUAGAGUACGGAAGAGGCGAGUGGAAUUCCUGGUGUAGCGGUGAAAUGCGCAGAUAUCAGGAGGAACACCAAUUGCGAAGGCAGCUCGCUGGGACGUUACUGACGCUGAGACGCGAAAGCGUGGGGAGCAAACAGG
rnacentral:rRNA from 1 species